GUAUUUAUUAACUUUUCGACAUUCUAAACACAUUCGAGGGGUUGUGAAAAACGACAUAGACCUUCAAGGGGAAAGCCGACUUCUGUUUUGAAGCACAGCAGUCCCCACUCGGAACAAAGAAAUUCCAGGAUCUACAAUAUGUGCACAGUUGGAGAAAUGAUAAAGAUGACAAGCGUGCACGAUGUCCUGGGACCAGCAGCAGCCUGUUCAAGUUUAUUCGAUAAUGAUCCUUCCGCAGGUUCACCUACGGAAA
rnacentral:misc_RNA from 1 species